UACGGAGGGUGCGAGCGUUGUCCGGAAUCACUGGGCGUAAAGCGCACGUAGGCGGCCUUUUAAGUCGGAUGUGAAAGCCCCAGGCUUAACCUGGGAAGUGCAUCCGAUACUGGAAGGCUUGAGUGCUAGAGGGGGUCGCGGAAUUCCGCGUGUAGCAGUGAAAUGCGUAGAGAUGCGGAGGAACACCGAUGGCGAAGGCAGCCCCCUGGGCUGACACUGACGCUCAGGCACGAAAGCGUGGGGAGCAAACAGG
rnacentral:rRNA from 1 species